AGAGUUUGAUCAUGGCUCAGAUUGAACGCUGGCGGCAGGCCUAACACAUGCAAGUCGAACGGUAACAGGAAGAAGCUUGCUUCUUUGCUGACGAGUGGCGGACGGGUGAGUAAUGUCUGGGAAACUGCCUGAUGGAGGGGGAUAACUACUGGAAACGGUAGCUAAUACCGCAUAACGUCGCAAGACCAAAGAGGGGGACCUUCGGGCCUCUUGCCAUCGGAUGUGCCCAGAUGGGAUUAGCUAGUAGGUGGGGUAACGGCUCACCUAGGCGACGAUCCCUAGCUGGUCUGAGAGGAUGACCAGCCACACUGGAACUGAGACACGGUCCAGACUCCUACGGGAGGCAGCAGUGGGGAAUAUUGCACAAUGGGCGCAAGCCUGAUGCAGCCAUGCCGCGUGUAUGAAGAAGGCCUUCGGGUUGUAAAGUACUUUCAGCGGGGAGGAAGGGAGUAAAGUUAAUACCUUUGCUCAUUGACGUUACCCGCAGAAGAAGCACCGGCUAACUCCGUGCCAGCAGCCGCGGUAAUACGGAGGGUGCAAGCGUUAAUCGGAAUUACUGGGCGUAAAGCGCACGCAGGCGGUUUGUUAAGUCAGAUGUGAAAUCCCCGGGCUCAACCUGGGAACUGCAUCUGAUACUGGCAAGCUUGAGUCUCGUAGAGGGGGGUAGAAUUCCAGGUGUAGCGGUGAAAUGCGUAGAGAUCUGGAGGAAUACCGGUGGCGAAGGCGGCCCCCUGGACGAAGACUGACGCUCAGGUGCGAAAGCGUGGGGAGCAAACAGGAUUAGAUACCCUGGUAGUCCACGCCGUAAACGAUGUCGACUUGGAGGUUGUGCCCUUGAGGCGUGGCUUCCGGAGCUAACGCGUUAAGUCGACCGCCUGGGGAGUACGGCCGCAAGGUUAAAACUCAAAUGAAUUGACGGGGGCCCGCACAAGCGGUGGAGCAUGUGGUUUAAUUCGAUGCAACGCGAAGAACCUUACCUGGUCUUGACAUCCACGGAAGUUUUCAGAGAUGAGAAUGUGCCUUCGGGAACCGUGAGACAGGUGCUGCAUGGCUGUCGUCAGCUCGUGUUGUGAAAUGUUGGGUUAAGUCCCGCAACGAGCGCAACCCUUAUCCUUUGUUGCCAGCGGUCCGGCCGGGAACUCAAAGGAGACUGCCAGUGAUAAACUGGAGGAAGGUGGGGAUGACGUCAAGUCAUCAUGGCCCCUUACGACCAGGGCUACACACGUGCUACAAUGGCGCAUACAAAGAGAAGCGACCUCGCGAGAGCAAGCGGACCUCAUAAAGUGCGUCGUAGUCCGGAUUGGAGUCUGCAACUCGACUCCAUGAAGUCGGAAUCGCUAGUAAUCGUGGAUCAGAAUGCCACGGUGAAUACGUUCCCGGGCCUUGUACACUCCGCCCGUCACACCAUGGGAGUGGGUUGCAAAAGAAGUAGGUAGCUUAACCUUCGGGAGGGCGCUUACCACUUUGUGAUUCAUGACUGGGGUGAAGUCGAAACAAGGUAACCGUAGGGGAACCUGCGGUUG
rnacentral:rRNA from 1 species